rnacentral:rRNA from 1 species
GACGAACGCUGGCGGCGUGCUUAACACAUGCAAGUCGAACGGUGAAGGGGUCUGCUUUUGUGGUCCCUGGAUGAGUGGCGAACGGGUGAGUAACACGUGAGUAACCUGCCCCCUUCUUCUGGAUAACCGCAUGAAAGUGUGGCUAAUACGGGAUAUUCUGGGUCUGUCGCAUGAUGGGUCUGGGAAAGAUGGCGCCUUGGGGUGUUUUUGUUUGGGGAUGGGCUCGAGGCCUAUCCGCUUGUCGGUGGGAGGAUGGGUGACCAGGGCGGUGACGGGUAGCCGGCCUGAGGGGGUGGAGGGUCAGAGUGGGACUGAGACACGGCCCAGACUCCUACGGGAGGCAGCCGUGGGGAAUAUUGCACAAUGGGCGAAAGCCUGAUGCAGCGAAGCCGCGUGAGGGAUGGCGGCCUUCGGGUUGUAAACCUCUUUCGCCAGUGAAGCAGGCCUGCUCCUUGUGGGUGGGUUGACGGUAGCUGGAGAAGAAGCGCCGGCUAACUACGUG